rnacentral:rRNA from 1 species
GGGUUGUGAGGUUAAGCGACUAAGCGUACACGGUGGAUGCCCUGGCAGUCAGAGGCGAUGAAGGACGUGCUAAUCUGCGAAAAGCGUCGGUAAGGUGAUAUGAACCGUUAUAGCCGGCGAUGUCCGAAUGGGGAAACC